rnacentral:rRNA from 1 species
AUGCCAUCUGCUUCGACUACACCGCCAAGGGAGGAUUCCCCGGCAAGGGAGCGUUCUCCGGCAAGGGAGAAUUCUCCGGCAAGGGAUGAUUCUCCGGCAAGGGACAGCACUGGCGACCCCCCGAUGGUUGAGACCAUGACCGCACAUCCUAGCACAGAUCCAUCUGCUACGGAUCCGAUGGAAACCGAGGUCGCCGGUGAGGAGAACGCGCGCAGCAACACCGACGACGCUAUUGCCACUGAAGGAGAAGCCGGUGCUGAUGAUCCCGCCGGCGAAGAGGCCGCCAAAGCUGCCGCCGCAGAAGCUGGCGAGGGAUCUGGCGAUUGCACUGACGGCCCCGAGGCCGCAGGAGCGCCAGGCGCUGCGCCGACCGCCGAUCCCUCCGCCGCUGCUGCAGCGCCAGGCUCCGAAGAGCCCCAGCCCGGCGCCUAUUUGAAGGCCGGCGACGGCAUCUUCAUCAGGCUUCCCUGGGCGUCAAGCUCCAGGGCGCCGGUCGAAGGAGAGAUUUUGGAUGGAGAGGUGCUCGCCUCCGCUGGGCUGACGCUGGUUGACGCGCCAAGCAGCAGCAGCGAUGAGCCUGAGGAGGAGCGGCUGUUAGAAAUAUGCCCUAGAGGCAAUAAUAAAAGUAUUAUUAUAUUUCAUUGUUCAUGA